rnacentral:rRNA from 1 species
CCUACGGGGAGCAGCAGUGUGGGGAUAUUGGACAAUGGGGGAAACCCUGUUCCAGCGACGCCGCGUGAGUGAAGAAGUAUUUCGGUAUGUAAAGCUCUGUCAGCAGGGAAGAAAGAAAUGAUGGUACCUGACCAAGAAGCCCCGGCUAACUACGUGCCAGCAGCCGCGGUAAUACGUAGGGGGCAAGCGUUAUCCGGAAUUACUGGGUGUAAAGGGAGCGUAGACGGUGCUGCAAGUCUGGCGUGAAAGGCGGGGGCCCAACCCCCGGACUGCUCUGGAAACUGUGUAACUUGAGUGCAGGAGAGGUAAGCGGAAUUCCUGGGGUAGCGGUGAAAUGCGUAGAUAUUAGGAGGAACACCAGUGGCGAAGGCGGCUUACUGGACUGUAACUGACGUUGAGGCUCGAAAGCGUGGGGAGCAAACAGGAUUAGAUACCCUAGUAGUC